rnacentral:misc_RNA from 1 species
GUGAAUCAUCAAAUUUUUGAACGCAAAUUGCAAUCUCUUCGGAGAGUAUGCCUGUUUGAGGGUCAGUCUUUAAAAAAUCGACAUUGUUGCUGCUUUGCGGUGGUGCUAGUCAGAAAUUGGGUUAUCUUUACUCUUUUGGUUUUAAGCGACUUAUUAUUUUCUUUUUGGUUCUAUGAAAGUUUCUAAGAUUUAUUUCUUUAUACGUUUAUGGUAUCGUUUUAUAUUUGUUGUGAACAUCAUUUCGGAUUGCGUCAUUA